rnacentral:antisense_RNA from 1 species
AUGUCAUCGACAAGUUUCAGAAAUAUCUCAUCCACAUUGAAGUUAUCCUUGGCACUUGCUUCACAGAACCGCAUCCCAGUGAUUUGCUGUGCAAACUGAGAAGAAACACACACCUAUUUCCUCUGUGUGGGGCCUCACAGACCAGCGUGUGAGCAUGAGAAUGAAUUUAAAGGAGCAGGAAGUCAAAAAAGUGCAAACAAAUUAGGAGGAUGUGACUGAGUUAUCACUGUAUUGAUAAUUUCUUUGUAAUCUUUGAAAUAAGUAAUUUAUUAAAAGAAACAGUACCUCAAGCGCUAAGCACAGUGUGUAGCAACCGUGCCUCCCACGCCCUCUCACCUUUUCCCCCUGCUGCCUGGUGAUUUCUCUGUCCGUUUCACAGUCCAACUUAUUUCCAACUAAGAGAAGCUCUGCAUCUUCUGAAGCAUACUGUGGAAUUUUAAAAGAAGCCACAUUUCAAAGAUGGGCAUCGCCAUAUACUGACAGCGGAAAUAUAAACCGAUACAGUAUUUUUCGCUAAUUUACAUUUGUCCAUUCACUUCCACUGUCUUUGAGGUUCUACCAGGUCCCAGGCAGGACUGGGCAGUGGUGCGAGGCAGGGCUCACUGCGUCUUAGGAAGAACUGGGGCACAGGCAUUAAGAACCACAAUGCUCUUGGCUGUUGACCCAACAAUUCCCAAGACCUCUUUCUAAGGAAAUGAUUGAACAUACAGGCAAAGCUCUACACUCAAAAUGGUUAUCAACUGAAUAAAACCUACAAGUCAAACAAAAUGGCUCGAGAAUCA